rnacentral:siRNA from 1 species
CGCGCCUAACGGCGUGCCUCGGC